GGCCCAUGCGACGCAAUCCCCGACAACUCGGUCAGGUUCG
rnacentral:SRP_RNA from 1 species